CCAGGUUGCGGGAGGCAGGCCUGGCACCAGUGCCCAUGGUGAGGAUUGGGAUGGGUUGAGCGAAGGUGGUCCUGUGGAGCUUUCAGGCUAAGUCCUGCAUGGACUGGAGUGACCACUGGAGGGCAGCAGAAGUACAGUCAAGAAAGAUUAGUGGUUGUAGCAAGGCCCUCUGUAGCCUGAGAUCUGCUUUUUUCUAGAUCAUCUUUGCUAAGGAUGGGCAUUUUGCCCUGGAGGAGCUGGCCCAAGCUGGCUAUGAGGUGGUUGGGCUUGACUGGACAGUGGCCCCAAAGAAAGCCCGGUAAGCCAUGGAAGGGUGAGGCCUUGAGGUUGAGGUGGGGGUGUUGGCUGGGGGAGCUGCCAUGUAUGCAGUUACCAGAACGUGGCGCUGGCUUUGCUUCCAGGGAGUGUGUGGGGAAGACGGUGACAUUGCAGGGCAACCUGGACCCCUGUGCCUUGUAUGCAUCCGAGGAGGAGAUCGGGCAGUUGGUGAAGCAGAUGCUGGAUGACUUUGGACCACAUCGCUA
rnacentral:sRNA from 1 species